UGAGCCAUCCGGGUGGACGCGGCACGAAUGUAUCGGCAUUGCAAUGCGCUGACAUGUCUGUCGAGGAAAGUCCGGACUCCACAGAGCACAGUGGUUGCUAACGGCAACCCAGGGCGACCUGCGGGAUUAGUGCCACAGAAAACAAACCGCCCAGCGAUGGGUAAGGGUGAAACGGUGCGGUAAGAGCGCACCAGCGCCCUAGGUGACUAGGGCGGCUAGGUAAACCCCACUGGGAGCAAGGCAAGAGGACGUACAUUGGUAUGUCUGUUCGGGCGUUAUAGGUUGCUCGCCGAGCCCGAAGGUACGCUGCUUGAGGCCCGCCAGCGAUGGCGGGUCCAGAUGGAUGUUCACCCCAAUGACAGAAUCCGGCUUAUAGGGUGGCUCAUUCG
rnacentral:RNase_P_RNA from 1 species